rnacentral:rRNA from 1 species
UGGGGAAUUUUGGACAAUGGGCGCAAGCCUGAUCCAGCAAUGCCGCGUGCAGGAUGAAGGCCUUCGGGUUGUAAACUGCUUUUGUACGGAACGAAAAGGCUCUGGCUAAUACCUGGGGCACAUGACGGUACCGUAAGAAUAAGCACCGGCUAACUACGUGCCAGCAGCCGCGGUAAUACGUAGGGUGCGAGCGUUAAUCGGAAUUACUGGGCGUAAAGCGUGCGCAGGCGGUUUUGUAAGACAGAGGUGAAAUCCCCGGGCUCAACCUGGGAACUGCCUUUGUGACUGCAAGGCUGGAGUGCGGCAGAGGGGGAUGGAAUUCCGCGUGUAGCAGUGAAAUGCGUAGAUAUGCGGAGGAACACCGAUGGCGAAGGCAAUCCCCUGGGCCUGCACUGACGCUCAUGCACGAAAGCGUGGGGAGCAAACAGGAUUAGAUACCCUGGUAGUCCACGCCCUAAACGAUGUCAACUGGUUGUUGGGUCUUAAUUGACUCAGUAACGAAGCUAACGCGUGAAGUUGACCNCCUGGGGAGUACGGCCGCAAGGUUGAAACUCAAAUGAAUUGACGGGGUCAUAGCUGUUUCCU